rnacentral:rRNA from 1 species
ACGAACGCUGGCGGCGUGCCUAAUACAUGCAAGUCGAACGGUCUUUCUAUGGAAGCUUGCUUCCACUGAGAAGAUAGUGGCGAACGGGUGAGUAACACGUGGGUAACCUGCCCAUAAGAGGGGGAUAACAUCCGGAAACGGGUGCUAAUACCGCAUAGUUUUCUUGAUCGCAUGAUCGGGAAAGGAAAGACGGCCUUUGUGCUGUCGCUUAUGGAUGGACCCGCGGCGUAUUAGUUAGUUGGUGAGGUAAUGGCUCACCAAGACGAUGAUACGUAGCCGACCUGAGAGGGUGAUCGGCCACAUUGGGACUGAGACACGGCCCAAACUCCUACGGGAGGCAGCAGUAGGGAAUCUUCCGCAAUGGACGAAAGUCUGACGGAGCAACGCCGCGUGAGUGAAGAAGGUUUUCGGGAAUCGUAAAACUCUGUUGUCAGAGAAGAACAAGUUGGAGAGUAACUGCUCCAGCCUUGACGGUAUCUGACCAGAAAGCCACGGCUAACUACGUGCCAGCAGCAGC